CUGCCAGUAGUCAUAUGCUUGUCUCAAAGACUAAGCCAUGCAUGUGUAAGUAUAAGUAUUAUACAGCGAAACUGCGAAUGGCUCAUUAAAACAGUUAUAGUUUAUUUGAUAUUUGAAAGUUACAUGGAUAACCGUGGCAAUUCUACAGCUAAUACAUGCUUUAAAACCUGACUUUUGGAAGGGUUGUAUUUAUUAGAUAUUAAACCAAUCCCUUAGGGGUUGUGAUGAAUCAUAAUAACUGAUCGGAUCGAGGCUUGCCUCGACAAAUCAUUCAAGUUUCUGCCCUAUCAGCUUUAGAUGGUAGUGUAUUGGACUACCAUGGCUAUCACGGGUAACGGAGAAUUAGGGUUCGAUUCCGGAGAGGGAGCCUGAGAAACGGCUACCACAUCUAAGGAAGGCAGCAGGCGCGAAAAUUGCCCAAUCCCGAUUCGGGGAGGCAGUGACAAGAAAUAACAACCCGGGGCUUUUCAGCCCAGGGAUUGCAAUGAGAACAAUUUAAAAACCUUAUCGAGUAUCAACUGGAGGGCAAGUUCUGGUGCCAGCAGCCGCGGUAAUUCCAGCUCCAGUAGCGUAUAUUAAAGUUGCUGCAGUUAAAAAGCUCGUAGUUGAAUUUCUGCUUAACAGACUAAGGUCCUAGUGAUCUUAUUCUUUGAGCAUCUGUCUGCAACCAUCAGAACGACCUUUACUGGUUGGCUAUGUGAGCAGACGUUUUACCUUGAGAAAAUUAGAGUGUUUCAGGCAGGCUUCAGCCGGAAUACAUUAGCAUGGAAUAAUGGAAUAGGACUGAAGACUAUUUAUUGGUUUAAGGCUUCAGUAAUGAUUAAUAGGAACAGUCGGGGGCAUUAGUACUUAAUAGUCAGAGGUGAAAUUCUUGGAUUUAUUAAAGACUAACUAAUGCGAAAGCAUUUGCCAAGCAUGUUUUCAUUAAUCAAGAACGAAAGUUAGGGGAUCAAAGACGAUCAGAUACCGUCCUAGUCUUAACUAUAAACUAUACCGACUCGGAUUCGG
rnacentral:rRNA from 1 species